GGAGCAGUCGGUCUGUGUGUGGAGCAGAAGCCGAUCAGCCAAGAGCUGGAGAAACAUGGAAAGCCAAGGUGUACUUACCCGGUCAUUUCCCCCCUGUUGCGCUGAGAGCGGUGUACCGUUCUGUGUUCUCUGUCCACCUUUUUCAAACAAAUUUGGACAGAAACGGUGGCGUUCCGUGAGGGACAGUUAUUUUUAAUUUGUUUGAACGUUGCACCAGCCCAGUGGAUCAACAGGCAAGAAAACAAACAUGCGGCUCGUUUAUCCUUUCUCCACAAGGACCUGGCGAUCAGAACUCCGCACGACAGAACCCCCAAUUCCUCCUCCAGAGAGUGGAAUCCCUGAUCGCCUGCCCGAGCCUCCAACAGAUACAGAGGUACAGAGACAUCCACCGGCCACCAUCUCUACAAGCUUAUGGCAUGAAAUUAGGAGAAGGCAUUCAUCAAGAGCACACGUGAUUCUACCUGGCAUAACCUUCUGCUAGAUGCCAUAUGAAAAAUGGAGGGGUCAUUCUCCAAUACAUUUUUACACCUUGAUGUUCGUCUGCUCAGACUGGAGGAGUUAGUUACUGGCCCUCCACCUAGUGAAAAUAGGGACUUUCUACUAAGGGUGGGUUCACACUACGUUUGUAGUGUACGG